AUUGAACGCUGGCGGCAGGCCUAACACAUGCAGGUCGAACGGCAGCACAGAAGAGCUUGCUCUUUGGGUGGCGAGUGGCGGACGGGUGAGUAACACGUAGGAAUCUACCCAGUAGUGGGGGAUAACCUGGGGAAACCCAGGCUAAUACCGCAUACGCCCUGAGGGGGAAAGCGGGGGAUCUUCGGACCUCGCGCUAUUGGAUGAGCCUGCGUCGGAUUAGCUAGUUGGUGGGGUAAGGGCCCACCAAGGCGACGAUCCGUAGCUGGUCUGAGAGGAUGACCAGUCACACCGGAACUGAGACACGGUCCGGACUCCUACGGGAGGCAGCAGUGGGGAAUAUUGCGCAAUGGGCGAAAGCCUGACGCAGCCAUGCCGCGUGAAGGAGGAAGGCGCUCAGCGUUGUAAACUUCUUUUGGAUGGGAAUAAUAAUGUCGACGUGCUCGGCACUUGAAGGUACCAUCAGAAUAAGCACCGGCUAACUCCGUGCCAGCAGCCG
rnacentral:rRNA from 1 species